rnacentral:lncRNA from 1 species
UUUCUUAAUUUGUGAGCCAAGUCUUGUAGAGUCUUUCUUCAUCCUGUUUUCCGCAGGCCCAUCAGUGGCGCUUUCUCUGUCUUCUCUGUGACUUCCUCCCUACUGGUGGGCCUUCAGAACCGUCUCCUGGUUUCUGUCUUGCACCAUCUAGAGCCACUUCCGGCCUGGCCUGUGGAGCUGGUAUCCAGGCCUGCCCAAAAGGCCAGGCUGCUUCUCCUUCUGACAGUCUUCCCAUUCCUUCCCCUCGUUCCUCUGGUUGCUCCCCACCCCCAGCCACAUGAUCUCCGUGCUGCCCUCUGUGGGGAUGGGCCCAGCUCACUAGCUGUUUCCCCAACUGCGGCCUUGCCGGGCCCACUGCCUGGGAUGCUGGCUUCCCUGUAAGGUCUCACCUGGCGCCACCCAGCAGCCUGUGCCCUUGCCCUUGAGUAAGGAGCCCCGGUACUGGCCUGCUGUGGUUCUGCGCCCGCAGGAGGCAGCCAAAAAAUGCCCUGUUGCUCCAGGAAUGGCUUCAUAAAGACUAGCAGCUGAUGGCCAGAUGUCCGAACAUGCAGGGCUGUGGAGGAGAUCAUGCGGGUCCUUGGCCCUGCCCCCGCCCGCUGCUUCCCUCUGCUUCCCCGCAGUGUCUCUGCUCCAUGUGGUCUGGAAUCGUCUUGUUUCUCUUGCCCCAUCUGUCUAUGUCCACCAACUCACUGGCAUCCCUCUGCUCAGUUAUCUCCUGUAUGAAGCCCUUCCCCAGGCCUCGCCACUCUUCCUGAAUGUGUUGCUGUGCUUGGAGGGGCCGUAUCUGUCUCCUCAUCAUGAGCCCCUCUGGCCUCACCGCUGCUCUGCAGUGAGCACAGACUAGUCAUCUUUCGCCGCCCAGCUAGGUGAGUCAGGUCCAGAGGAAUGUCUGCGACCGUCCUGGCCCCUCCACCUCUGCCCCAGGUCAGCCUCUGCUCAGCAGGAGGAGCCUCGGGGGCAGGCAGCAGUAAGGUGUCCUGCUUGGGCUCCCUCUUGGCUUUCCCUUGUGCUUGCAAAUGUUUUUCUAGACUCAGAGGACAGGCUGGGGGGGAUGGGGGGUGGUUUCAGGAAGGCAGCCCACCCUGGGAAGAGGGAGGAGGGACGAUGGCAGGGGAGACAGGAACCCCGCAGUGCCUAGACCUCCCGCCCACCAGAGAAACCGGGCUUCUCGGAGGUGUCUGCGGAGUCCUUGGGGUCGGCCUGGGUGAUGACGUCACAGCCCACUGUCCUUCCUGUCCCUUGUUUUUUACUUGUCUGGUUGAGAUUCUCCUCAAACUCAAGGGUCCUGGCCUGCUGUGUGCCAAGAGGGCCUUUCCUGAUGGAGCUCUCAAACACAACAGUGCUUGGUGCAGCAUGUCCCGGGGCUGGAGCCAUGGGGACUACUGC